CGCGUAGGUGGUUUGUUAAGCGAGAUGUGAAAGCCCCGGGCUUAACCUGGGAACGGCAUUUCGAACUGGCAGACUAGAGUGUGGUAGAGGGUAGUGGAAUUUCCUGUGUAGCGGUGAAAUGCGUAGAUAUAGGAAGGAACACCAGUGGCGGAGGCGGCUACCUGGACCAACACUGACACUGAGGUGCGAAAGCGUGGGGAGCAAACA
rnacentral:rRNA from 1 species